rnacentral:rRNA from 1 species
UACACGACCGUACCGCAAACCGACACUGGUGCGCGAGAUGAGUAUUCUAAGGCGCUUGAGAGAACUCAGGAGAAGGAACUCGGCAAAUUGACACCGUAACUUCGGAAAAAGGUGUGCCUUUAGUAGGUGAAGUCCCUCGCGGAUGGAGCCCAAUGAGGUUGCAAAGAAUCGGUGGCUGCGACUGUUUAUUAAAAACACAGCACUCUGCAAACACGAAAGUGGACGUAUAGGGUGUGACGCCUGCCCGGUGCUGGAAGAUUAAAUGAUGGGGUGCAAGCUCUUGAUUGAAGUCCCAGUAAACGGCGGCCGUAACAAUAACGGUCCUAAGGUAGCGAAAUUCCUUGUCGGGUAAGUUCCGACCUGCACGAAUGGCGUAACGAUGGCCACACUGUCUCCCCCUGAGACUCAGCGAAGUUGAAAUGUUUGUGAUGAUGCAAUCUCCCCGCGGAAAGACGGAAAGACCCCAUGAACCUUUACUGUAGCUUUGUAUUGGACUUUGAACAGAUCUGUGUAGGAUAGGUGGGAGGCUUUGAAGCAGGGUCGCUAGAUCUUGUGGAGCCAACGUUGAAAUACCACCCUGGUGUGUUUGAGGUUCUAACCUAGGCCCGUAAUCCGGGUUGGGGACAGUGCAUGGUAGGCAGUUUGACUGGGGCGGUCUCCUCCCAAAGUGUAACGGAGGAGUUCGAAGGUACGCUAGUUACGGUCGGACAUCGUGACGAUAGUGCAAUGGCAUAAGCGUGCUUAACUGCGAGACUGGCAAGUCGAGCAGAUGCGAAAGCAGGACAUAGUGAUCCGGUGGUUCUGUAUGGAAGGGCCAUCGCUCAACGGAUAAAAGGUACUCUGGGGAUAACAGGCUGAUACCGCCCAAGAGUUCAUAUCGACGGCGGUGUUUGGCACCUCGAUGUCGGCUCAUCUCAUCCUGGGGCUGUAGCCGGUCCCAAGGGUAUGGCUGUUCGCCAUUUAAAGAGGUACGUGAGCUGGGUUUAAAACGUCGUGAGACAGUUUGGUCCCUAUCUUCCGUUGGCGCUGCAGAUUUGAGGAAGCCUGCUCCUAGUACGAGAGGACCGGAGUGGACGCACCUCUGGUGUAUCGGUUGUCACGCCAGUGGCAUUGCCGAGUAGCUAUGUGCGGAAGAGAUAACCGCUGAAAGCAUCUAAGCGGGAAACUCGUUUCAAGAUGAGAUCUGCCGGGGCCUUGAGCCCCCUGAAGAGUCGUUCAAGACCAGGACGUUGAUAGGUCGGGUGUGGAAGCGCAGUAAUGCGUUAAGCUAACCGAUACUAAUUGCUCGUGCGGCUUGACCCU